UCUCCGUUGGUGGACCAGCGGAGGGAUCAUUACCGAGUUUACAACUCCCAAACCCCUAUGUGAACGUUACCAAACUGUUGCCUCGGCGGGAAAUUCAUGCCCCGGGCGCGUCGCAGCCCCGGACCAAGGCGCCCGCCGGAGGACCAACCAAAACUCUUUUGUAUGUCCCUCGCGGACUUUUAUAAUUCUGAACCAUCUCGGCGCCCCUAGCGGGCGUUUCGAAAAUGAAUCAAAACUUUCAACAACGGAUCUCUUGGUUCUG
rnacentral:misc_RNA from 1 species